rnacentral:rRNA from 1 species
GACGAACGCUGGCGGCGUGCUUAACACAUGCAAGUCGAACGGAAAGGCCCUGCUUUUGUGGGGUGCUCGAGUGGCGAACGGGUGCGUAACACGUGAGUAACCUGCCCUUGACUUUGGGAUAACUUCAGGAAACUGGGGCUAAUACCGGAUAGGAGCCCCUGCUGCAUGGUGGGGGUUGGAAAGUUUCGGAGGUCGGGGAUGGACUCGCGGCCUAUCAGCUUGUUGGUGGGGUAGUGGCUUACCAAGGCUUUGACGGGUAGCCGGCCUGAGAGGGUGACCGGCCACAGUGUGACUGAGAUGCGGCCCGGACUCCUACGGGAGGCAGCAGUGGGGAAUAUUGCACAAUGGGCGGAAGCCUGAUGCAGCAACGCCGCGUGCGGGAUGACGGCCUUCGGGUUGUAAACCGCUUUCGCCUGUGACGAAGCGUGAGUGACGGUAAUGGGUAAAGAAGCACCGGCUAACUACGUG